rnacentral:rRNA from 1 species
CCCUUAGAUGUCCUGGGCCGCACGCGCGCUACACUGACAUGUUCAACAAGCCUCCUAGUUCGACAGGAUUUGGGAAAUCUUUGGACGCAUGUCGUGAUAGGGAUAGAUCAUUGCAAUUAUUGAUCUUGAACGAGGAAUUCCUAGUAAACGCGAGUCAUCAGCUCGCAUUGAUUACGUCCCUGCCCUUUGUACACACCGCCCGUCGCACCUACCGAUUGAAUGUUUCGGUGAAGAUUCCGGAUAGGACUUUUUUGAUUUAUUUCAAUUUUGUCUUAAAAGCUAUCUAAACCUCAACAUUUAGAGGAAGGUGAAGUCGUAACA